GGAGUCGAUAUGGAGAGCAGCCCUCAUGAAAGAAACUCUGAAUCAUUAUCCCCGAAGCAAAACUACAGAACUGAUUGCGAGCACUGAAGGACAUGGUCUUGGCGGGUUGCGGAAUGACGGUGGGUCUGGUGUUUGGAGUUCCUGAGCAGAAAUGUUAAGGCCAUAUCAUCUUUGAGGUUUUUGUGGUUAAUAGCAUUGUAACGUUCUGUUAGA